rnacentral:rRNA from 1 species
GUAUUUUGACUAUACGAAGGUAUUGAAAUAAGGCUUUAAAUGAGUGCUAAGAGAAUGGUUGAACAAUUAUAGGCUUUCUUUAAUUAAUAAAUUGAAGUUAAUUUUUUUGUGAAGAAGCAAAAAUGAAUAUUAGGGACAAGAAGACCCUAUGAAUUUUAAAAUUAAAAAAGGAGAUUAAUAAAUAACUUUUUAAUUUUAAUUGGGGCGAUGAGAAAAGAAUAGUUAUCUUUUUUUUAUGAGUUAAUUUGACCCAUUAAUAAUGAUUAAAUGAUUAAAAUACUCUAGGGAUAACAGCGUAAUAAUUUUGGAUAGUUCAUAUAGAUAAAAUAGUUUGCGACCUCGAUGUUGGAUUAGGAUACUUUAUUGGUGGAGA